AGCGAACGCUGGCGGCAGGCCUAACACAUGCAAGUCGAACGAAGUCUUCGGACUUAGUGGCGGACGGGUGAGUAACACGUGGGAACGUGCCUUUAGGUUCGGAAUAACUCAGGGAAACUUGUGCUAAUACCGACUGUUCCCUUAGGGGGUAAGAUUUAUCGCCUUUAGAGCGGCCCGCGUCUGAUUAGCUAGUUGGUGCGGUAAAGGCUCACCAAGGCGACGAUCAGUAGCUGGUCUGAGAGGAUGAUCCGCCACAUUGGGACUGAGACACGGCCCAAACUCCUACGGGAGGCAGCAGUGGGGAAUCUUGCGCAAUGGGCGAAAGCCUGACGCAGCCAUGCCGCGUGAAUGAUGAAGGUCUUAGGAUUGUAAAAUUCUUUCACCGGGGACGAUAAUGACGGUACCCGGAGAAGAAGCCCCGGCUAACUUCGUGCCAGCCGCCGCCGUAAUAC
rnacentral:rRNA from 1 species